GAUGAACGCUGGCGGCGUGCUUAACACAUGCAAGUCGAGCGAGAAGUUUUGAAAAGAUUCUUCGGAUGAAAUUUAAAACGGAAAGCGGCGGACGGGUGAGUAACGCGUAGGCAACCUGCCCCAUACAAAGGGAUAGCAUUUGGAAACGAAUAUUAAUCCCUUAUGAAACUUAACUAGUGCAUGCUAGGUAGGUCAAAGAUUUAUCGGUAUGGGAUGGGCCUGCGUCUGAUUAGCUAGUUGGUGAGGUAACGGCUCACCAAGGCGACGAUCAGUAGCCGACCUGAGAGGGUGAACGGCCACAUUGGAACUGAGACACGGUCCAAACUCCUACGGGAGGCAGCAGUGGGGAAUAUUGCACAAUGGGGGAAACCCUGAUGCAGCAACGCCGCGUGAACGAUGAAGGCCUUUGGGUCGUAAAGUUCUGUUCUAGGUGAUGAAAACUGACAGUAACCUAGGAGAAAGCCCCGGCUAACUCCGUG
rnacentral:rRNA from 1 species